AGAGUUUGAUCCUGGCUCAGAACGAACGCUGGCGGCAGGCUUAACACAUGCAAGUCGAACGCCCCGCAAGGGGAGUGGCAGACGGGUGUGUAACGCGUGGGAAUCUACCCUUUUCUACGGAACAACUGAGGGAAACUUCAGCUAAUACCGUAUACGGCCGAGAGGCGAAAGAUUUAUCGGAGAAGGAUGAGCCCGCGUUGGAUUAGCUAGUUGGUGGGGUAAAGGCCUACCAAGGCGACGAUCCAUAGCUGGUCUGAGAGGAUGAUCAGCCACACUGGGACUGAGACACGGCCCAGACUCCUACGGGAGGCAGCAGUGGGGAAUAUUGGACAAUGGGCGCAAGCCUGAUCCAGCCAUGCCGCGUGAGUGAUGAAGGCCCUAGGGUUGUAAAGCUCUUUCACCGGUGACGAUGAUGACGGUAGCCGGCGAAGAAGCCCCGGCUAACUCCGUGCCAGCAGCGGCGGUAAUAC
rnacentral:rRNA from 1 species